rnacentral:rRNA from 1 species
GAUGAACGCUGGCGGCGUGCCUAAUACAUGCAAGUCGAGCGAACAGACGAGGAGCUUGCUCCUCUGACGUUAGCGGCGGACGGGUGAGUAACACGUGGAUAACCUACCUAUAAGACUGGGAUAACUUCGGGAAACCGGAGCUAAUACCGGAUAAUAUAUUGAACCGCAUGGUUCAAUAGUGAAAGACGGUUUUGCUGUCACUUAUAGAUGGAUCCGCGCCGCAUUAGCUAGUUGGUAAGGUAACGGCUUACCAAGGCAACGAUGCGUAGUCGACCUGAGAGAGUGAUCGGCCACACUGGAACUGAGACACGGUCCAGACUCCUACGGGAGGCAGCAGUAGGGAAUCUUCCGCAAUGGGCGAAAGCCUGACGGAGCAACGCCGCGUGAGUGAUGAAGGUCUUCGGAUCGUAAAACUCUGUUAUUAGGGAAGAACAAAUGUGUAAGUAACUAUGCACGUCUUGACGGUACCUAAUCAGAAAGCCACGGCUAACUACGUG